UCGGGCAUGGUGUACGGCACACAGCUGGCUUUCGUGUCCGGUCCUCACGUAUGACCAGCAGAACGGGGUUCGACUCCCCGUGCCCGAA